UUACGGCCAUGUCUGCAUGAAACGCCGGUCCUCGUACGAUCUCUAAAGUUAAGGAACGUCGAGCUUGGUCAGUAUCUAGAUGGGUGACCGUUUAGGAAUAUCAAGUGCUGUAA